UUUCCGUAGGUGAACCUGCGGAAGGAUCAUUACCGAGUGAGGGCCCUCUGGGUCCAACUUCCCACUCGUGUUUAUCGUACCUUGUUGCUUCGGCGGGCCCGCCUCACGGCCGCCGGGGGGCACCCGCCACCGGGCGGCCGCCCGCCGACGAAACCAUUGAACGCUGUCUGAAGAUUGCAGUCUGAGCAUCUUAGCUAAAUCAGUUAAAACUUUCAACAACGGAUCUCUUGGUUCCG
rnacentral:misc_RNA from 1 species